AACUUUCUGAAUCCAUGUUGAGACUUCGUCAGAUACCAGACAAUCAGUACUGCUGAGACUCUCGAGAUAAGUGAAGUG
rnacentral:pre_miRNA from 1 species